AUUGAACGCUGGCGGCAUGCCUUACACAUGCAAGUCGAACGGCAGCACGGGAGCAAUCCUGGUGGCGAGUGGCGAACGGGUGAGUAAUGUAUCGGAACGUGCCCAGUCGUGGGGGAUAACGUAGCGAAAGCUACGCUAAUACCGCAUACGAUCUAUGGAUGAAAGCGGGGGAUCGCAAGACCUCGCGCGAUUGGAGCGGCCGAUAUCAGAUUAGGUAGGUGGUGGGGUAAAGGCUCACCAAGCCGACGAUCUGUAGCUGGUCUGAGAGGACGACCAGCCACACCGGGACUGAGACACGGCCCAGACUCCUACGGGAGGCAGCAGUGGGGAAUUUUGGACAAUGGGCGCAAGCCUGAUCCAGCAAUGCCGCGUGCAGGAUGAAGGCCUUCGGGUUGUAAACUGCUUUUGUACGGAACGAAACGGCGAGCUCUAAUACAGUUUGCUAAUGACGGUACCGUAAGAAUAAGCACCGGCUAACUACGUGCCAGCAGCCGCCGUAA
rnacentral:rRNA from 1 species